ACCGGGAUUGUGUAAAGGUAGCACGCCGGACUCUGACUCCGUCUGUGAGGGUUCGAAUCCUUCUCCCGGUGCCA
rnacentral:tRNA from 1 species